NNNNUGAUGAGUUGCAUAGUUCAUAUGACUAACAAUGAUAUUUUACUUAUAACUUAAGUUAUUGAAACUGGUCUUUCACCCCUAUCUGA
rnacentral:snoRNA from 1 species